AAAAGGGUCACAUCCUACCCAGACCAAAUCUGAUAUUAGAUCAACUUGCCCAUAAAUAUAGACCUUUCAAUACUUCAUUCAGUCUAUAGGAAAUAUUGUACAUAUUCUCCAAUACUAAUAUUUCAAAUAUUAUCUUAAAUAAAAUUAAGAUGGCUAUGCCUAAUCACUUUAAAAAGCAUAAAGACUAUAAUAGCCUUACUGCUUACUUUACAUACACAAAUAAACCAUGCCUUGUACCCUGGAUUGUUAAGAACAAUUUAUUUACUAUGUCCAAAGAAUGCACGAAUGCAAUCUGCCUUCAAAAAAAUUAUUUUUCUGUAUGAUGCUAAAGAAUUAUAAAGCUAUUCAAGAUGAUAUUCCUAUUCUCACCC